AAAUUGGGAAAUCCAGCUCAUCGUGCACGCUAUGUGCUGCCAUGACUGGGGGGUGCUUAGGUAGUUGCAUGGGUCUCCGUCUCUCCUUAUCCGAUUCUUGGCCGUCCUUGGUCGUCUCUCUCUCUCUCUCUCUCUCUCGCCUCAGUCGUGGCAUGGCGAUCGGAAUCCCCUAGUCCCGCCCCAAGGGUUGUCUUCCUCCUCUCAUCUCUUCCACAAGGUGUAGAUGCCAAAGCAAAGGAGAUCGUGCGCCUUAGUCGUGGGAUGGCGAUCGGAAUCCCCAAGUCCCGCCCCAAGGGUUGUCUCCCGCCUCUCAUCUUGCGUUGGAUCUAAGACGCGAUUUUCUUGCAAUUCCGUCAUGAUCGCUUUCCAUUUCUGGCUUUGCAGAAAUGGCACCGAAAUUUUAUUGAUACUAAAUACCAGGGCGCAUCAUACCUAAAUUUUAUUGUUCUUGGUGUUACAUCAAUCUUAUGGUUCUUUACGUUUCUUAGCAUAGCAACAUGGAAUCUCCUGAUCGGGGUUAGUCUUAAAUCCAGAUGUUGACACGGGUUUCUUUUUGUUGUAUUCCCAUUAUUUAUUAUGAUUCAUUAAGUAUUACGUUUGUUGAUAUUGUUUCCAAUAAUCUGAUUCCUUUAGGAUAUCAUUCUUCUGCCAUUGUCCAUUACGUCUACCAUCUGAUUUAACCAGAUUAAGGUUUUCUCAUUAAUAAGCAAAUUCUCAAUCAUGUACUGAUACUGGUCGGCAACCGGACCAGUAUAGUACUGGAGCAGGAUCACACACUAACUUUUGGUGUUGGUCAGUCUGAGGCGCAUGAGAGAGAAGAUUGGGGAUGGGGUUUGGGGGGAGGGGGAAGGAAAGGAUAGGUGGCAGUGACACCACGAGGAGAGGCAGAUAGAAAGAGAGAAAUAGAGAAGUAAAAGAAACAAUAUAGCUAUGGCAGCUACUAGGUGGUGCAUCCUCCUCUACUAGAUUGAACUGUGCAGAAUCGCUUGUUCCUUGUCCUGGUUGGCAAUCGAACUGGUAAAUAGUGGCCUGCAUUGAUACGAUCAAUUGGUAAGGGCGGUAUUUUAAUCCAUGACUCUUAUAAGAUGGUUGGAAAGUGUGCUAUAUUUUAUGGAUCUAAAUAUUGAAACUCCAAGAAACAAUAUAUUGAAGAAGUUAAUGCUGUUCAAACAAGAAAUUUUGUAAUCGAUGUGUUUACUAAAAAAGAAAAAAAAAUAAAGAAGCUUGCAUUUGUGAACAUUUUACAAUAUUUCUUAUUAGAGAUAAGAUGAAGAUAGCUAUGGCUUGCGUUAUCCAGAGAUUUGUGCACAUGAUGUUUUGUAUGGUUUCAAGUGAAAUUACUUCCUUUUUGAGUGAACUGUCUGAACUUAUUAAAUCUCAAUCUAUUUCUAUGAGAAAUAUUGAAUUUUGGUCUAUUUAUUUCUAGACUUAACAAACCUGUCAUUACAACUUUGAAGCGCUAUAGAACGUAUCAGAUCAGUUUAAAAAAUUGGAAUGGUCCACCAGUUCAUGAAAUCAAGCCUUCAUCUGGGGGAAUCAAUCACAUGGGGCAAUCAAAUAAGAAUCCAUCCCAACUUGAAGAUACAUACUUUUCCUCUGCUUUUCCUUUUUUUAUCUUUUUCUGUCUGUCUCCCCCUUUUCCUCUGCAGAUUACAGGUUCAUAUGGCAUGCUAUAUCAGUAAAAGAGGAUUUAUGUUGUUUAGUUUGACUAUUAAAGUAGUGGUCAAGGCAGGAAAGGAUUUUGUACCUGCCUGAAAAUAGUUGGAUCUAUGGCUUAUUGCUGUUGCUGUUGGUUUUGUUGUUAGAUCUUUUUUGAUCAUCUGUUUAGUAAUGUUAUCUUGUUAGCCUAAGUAUGUACUCAAAA